rnacentral:rRNA from 1 species
UACAGAGGUCUCAAGCGUUGUUCGGAUUCAUUGGGCGUAAAGGGUGCGUAGGCGGCGCGGUAAGUCGGGUGUGAAAUCUCGGGGCUUAACUCCGAAACUGCAUUCGAUACUGCCGUGCUUGAGGACUGGAGAGGAGACUGGAAUUUACGGUGUAGCGGUGAAAUGCGUAGAUAUCGUAAGGAAGACCAGUGGCGAAGGCGGGUCUUUGGACAGUUCCUGACGCUGAGGCACGAAGGUCAAGGGGAGCGAAACGGGAUU